rnacentral:rRNA from 1 species
AACACAUGCAAGUCGAACGCGUGUAGCAAUACACGAGUGGCGCACGGGUGAGUAACGCGUGGAUAUCUGCCUUUUGGUUCGGAAUAACCCCGGGAAACUGGGGCUAAUACCGGAUGGUUCCUUCGGGAUAAAGAUUUAUCGCCAAAAGAUGAGUCCGCGUACGAUUAGCUAGUUGGUGAGGUAAUGGCUCACCAAGGCGACGAUCGUUAGCUGGUCUGAGAGGACGAUCAGCCACACUGGGACUGAGACACGGCCCAGACUCCUACGGGAGGCAGCAGUGGGGAAUAUUGGACAAUGGGGGCAACCCUGAUCCAGCCAUGCCGCGUGAGUGAUGAAGGCCUUCGGGUUGUAAAGCUCUUUUGGCGGGGACGAUGAUGACGGUACCCGCAGAAUAAGCCCC